rnacentral:lncRNA from 1 species
AGUAAGUGCUCUUGCAAUGCAAAAAAAUGGAAAAAAAAAGAAAAAAAAAAAAGCUAUACUAUCUACGGUUGUACAAAUGCAUAGUUUAUUAAAGAGUUAAAAAGAAAAAAAAAUUAAAAUCUUGUAAAAUAUAUACACAUGUAUGAAAAAUUUUUAUUUUAUUUUUUUUUUAAUGCGUUUGUUUAUAUUUUUUAGGUAUCAAAUAAUUACCACAAUUUUAUAUUAAAAAGCAUGCAGCGAGCACAAGUUAAAGAAGUAUUUAAUGAAAAAAGAAAGAAUAUGCUUUUAAAAUUAAUUGCUUUACUAGGUAGUCAAAUCAGUUCAGAGAUGAAAAAGAAAUUUGCACAAGUGAAUGCAACAUCUUCAUCGAAGGAAGAUGAAUCCAAUAUUGAAGAAAACAUAAAAUCUAAACUAAGCGCGAAAGAAAAAGAAUUAAAAAUAGAAGAACAUAAUUUAAUAUGUGAUUAUUGGCAAAAACAAAGUGAAUGUAUGAGUUUGUUAAUAAAAGAAUGGAGUAAGAUUUCCGAAAUUUUAGAAUCUAUUAAUAUUGAUCCUAACAAUAUAGCUAACUCACUUUUAUCUUUAUAUGAAGAACAAACAGUUAAUGAUUUUCAUUUAAAUAUUGAGGAAAUUAAACAAUCAGAUAUUGAAUUAGAUGUUAAUGUUGAUGACAUUGUAAUACCGCAUGUUCAGGAGUCACCUGAGCAACAAUUUGACCCAACUAACAUGACUGUGAUGAGUUUUAUUAAGGACGUAAAGUGGGACAUGGAUAUUGAAUACUCAUUAAACCAAAUACGGAGUGAAUGGGAAAAUGAGAAUAAGCAAAAUAAAAAGCUGUUACAGAAAAAGGUAACACAAUAAAUUAAAAAAAAUAAAAAAAUAAAAUAAAAAAAAAAGCGUGUAUAC